rnacentral:rRNA from 1 species
GACGAACGCUGGCGGCAUGCCUAAUACAUGCAAGUCGAGCGAACAGAUGAAGUGCUUGCACUUCUGACGUUAGCGGCGAACGGGUGAGUAACACGUAAGGAAUCUACCUAUAAGCGGGGGAUAACAUUCGGAAACGGGUGCUAAUACCGCAUAAUAUCUUCUUCCGCAUGGAAGAAGAUUGAAAGACGGCUCUGCUGUCACUUAUAGAUGACCUUGCGGUGCGUUAGUUAGUUGGUGGGGUAAAGGCCUACCAAGACGAUGAUGCAUAGCCGACCUGAGAGGGUGAUCGGCCACAUUGGGACUGAGACACGGCCCAAACUCCUACGGGAGGCAGCAGUAGGGAAUCUUCCGCAAUGGGCGAAAGCCUGGCGGAGCAAUGCCGCGUGAGUGAAGAAGGCCUUCGGGUCGUAAAACUCUGUUAUAAGAGAAGAACAAAUUGUAGAGUAACUGCUACAGUCUUGACGGUAUCUUAUCAGAAAGCCACGGCUAACUACGUGCCAGCCGCCGCAGUAA